rnacentral:rRNA from 1 species
CCUACGGGUGGCAGCAGUGAGGAAUAUUGGUCAAUGGCCGGAAGGCUGAACCAGCCAUGCCGCGUGAAGGUCAGUGCCCUAUGGGCGUUAAACUUCUUUUGUGCGGGAGCAAUAAUGGUCACGUGUGGCCAGACGAGAGUACCGUACGAAUAAGCAUCGGCUAACUCCGUGCCAGCAGCCGCGGUAAUACGGGGGAUGCAAGCGUUAUCCGGGUUUAUUGGGUUUAAAGGGUGCGUAGGCUGGGAGGUAAGUCAGCGGUGAAAUGCCCCCGCUCAACGGGGUGAAGUGCCAUUGAUACUGCCUGGCUGGAAUGCGGAUGCCGUGGGAGGAAUGUGUGGUGUAGCGGUGAAAUGCAUAGAUAUCACACAGAACACCGAUUGCGAAGGCAUCUCACGAAUCCGCGAUUGACGCUGAUGCACGAAAGCGUGGGUAUCAAACAGGAUUAGAUACCCUAGUAGUC